UACGGAGGGGGCUAGCGUUGCUCGGAAUUACUGGGCGUAAAGCGCACGUAGGCGGCCAUGAUAGUCAGAUGUGAAAGGCCUGGGCUUAACCCGGGAACUGCAUUUGAUACUGCGUGGCUAGAGUCCAAGAGAGGGUAGUGGAAUUCCCAGUGUAGAGGUGAAAUUCGUAAAUAUUGGGAAGAACACCAGUGGCGAAGGCGGCUACCUGGCUUGGUACUGACGCUCAGGUGCGAAAGCGUGGGGUGCAAACAGG
rnacentral:misc_RNA from 1 species